UUUUCAAUCACCCUCUUCUCUGGUAAAUCUUUCCCAAGCAACCUGAUUUGAUUUACUAUUUUCAUGAGCCUAUCAGCAUACUCCUUUACUGGUUCACUCUCCUUCAUUUUCAAUAGCUCAUAUUCUCUUCUCAGGUUUAAAACUUGCAUUUGCUUAGUCUUUUCACUCCCUUGAAACUCUUCUUUUAAUCUGUCCCAAGUUUCCUUGCCCGUAUCACAAGCCAUAAUUCUUGUGAAA
rnacentral:misc_RNA from 1 species